UCCGGUGGCUAUGGCGAAGGGGUCCCACCCGUUCCCAUCCCGAACACGGAAGUUAAGCCCUUCAGCGCCGAUGGUACUUGGGGGUUCCCCCUGGGAGAGUAGGUCGCUGCCGGAU
rnacentral:rRNA from 1 species